CCUACGGGAGGCAGCAGUGGGGAAUAUUGCACAAUGGGCGAAAGCCUGAUGCAGCAACGCCGCGUGAAGGAAGACGGUUUUCGGAUCGUAAACUUCUAUCAAUAGGGAAGAAAGAAAUGACGGUACCCAAAUAAGAAGCCCCGGCUAACUACGUGCCAGCAGCCGCCGUAAUACGUAGGGGGCAAGCGUUAUCCGGAUUUACUGGGUGUAAAGGGAGAGUAGGCUGUAAGUUAAGCGAUAUGUGAAAGCCUAAGGCUUAACCGAAGAAGUGCAUAAGAAACUAGCGAGCUUGAGUGCAGAAGAGGAGAGCGGAAUUCCUAGUGUAGCGGUGAAAUGCGUAGAUAUUAGGAAGAACACCAGUGGCGAAGGCGGCUUUCUGGACUGAAACUGACGCUGAGGCUCGAAAGCGUGGGGAGCGAACAGGAUUAGAUACCCGAGUAGUC
rnacentral:rRNA from 1 species